rnacentral:rRNA from 1 species
UACGAAGGGGGCUAGCGUUGCUCGGAAUCACUGGGCGUAAAGCGCACGUAGGCGGAUUGUUAAGUCAGGGGUGAAAUCCUGGAGCUCAACUCCAGAACUGCCUUUGAUACUGGCGAUCUCGAGUCCGGGAGAGGUGAGUGGAACUCCGAGUGUAGAGGUGAAAUUCGUAGAUAUUCGGAAAGAACACCAGUGGCGAAGGCGGCUCACUGGCCCGGUACUGACGCUGAGGUGCGAAAGCGUGGGGAGCAAACAGG